rnacentral:rRNA from 1 species
GACGUAGGGGGCGAGCGUUGUCCGGAUUUAUUGGGCGUAAAGAGCUCGUAGGCGGUUCGAUAAGUCGGACGUGAAAUCUCCACGCUCAACGUGGAGGGGCCGUUCGAUACUGUCGUGACUCGAGUCCGGUAGGGGAGUGUGGAAUUCCCGGUGUAGCGGUGAAAUGCGCAGAGAUCGGGAGGAACACCCGUAGCGAAGGCGGCACUCUGGGCCGGUACUGACGCUGAGGAGCGAAAGCGUGGGGAGCAAACAGGG